ACAUCUCUCUUUCAAGGAG
rnacentral:snRNA from 1 species